AUGCAAGUCGAGCGGAAAGGCCCUUCGGGGUACUCGAGCGGCGAACGGGUGAGUAACACGUGAGCAACCUGCCCUAGGCUUUGGGAUAACCCUCGGAAACGGGGGCUAAUACCGAAUACGACCUUCUGCCGCAUGGUGGGGGGUGGAAAGUUUUUCGGCCUGGGAUGGGCUCGCGGCCUAUCAGCUUGUUGGUGGGGUGAUGGCCUACCAAGGCGACGACGGGUAGCCGGCCUGAGAGGGCGACCGGCCACACUGGGACUGAGACACGGCCCAGACUCCUACGGGAGGCAGCAGUGGGGAAUAUUGCACAAUGGGCGGAAGCCUGAUGCAGCGACGCCGCGUGAGGGAUGACGGCCUUCGGGUUGUAAACCUCUUUCAGCAGGGACGAAGCGCAAGUGACGGUACCUGCAGAAGAAGCGCCGGCCAACUACGUGCCAGCAGCCGCGGUAAGACGUAGGGCGCGAGCGUUGUCCGGAUUUAUUGGGCGUAAAGAGCUCGUAGGCGGCUUGUCGCGUCGACCGUGAAAACUUGGGGCUCAACCCCAAGCCUGCGGUCGAUACGGGCAGGCUAGAGUUCGGUAGGGGAGACUGGAAUUCCUGGUGUAGCGGUGAAAUGCGCAGAUAUCAGGAGGAACACCGGUGGCGAAGGCGGGUCUCUGGGCCGAUACUGACGCUGAGGAGCGAAAGCGUGGGGAGCGAACAGGAUUAGAUACCCUGGUAGUCCACGCUGUAAACGUUGGGCGCUAGGUGUGGGGGGCCUCUCCGGUUCUCUGUGCCGCAGCUAACGCAUUAAGCGCCCCGCCUGGGGAGUACGGCCGCA
rnacentral:rRNA from 1 species